rnacentral:rRNA from 1 species
UGGGGAAUAUUGCACAAUGGGCGCAAGCCUGAUGCAGCCAUGCCGCGUGUAUGAAGAAGGCCUUCGGGUUGUAAAGUACUUUCAGUCGGGAGGAAGGUGGUAAGGUUAAUAACCUUAUCAAUUGACGUUACCGACAGAAGAAGCACCGGCUAACUCCGUGCCAGCAGCCGCGGUAAUACGGAGGGUGCAAGCGUUAAUCGGAAUUACUGGGCGUAAAGCGCACGCAGGCGGUUGAUUGAGUCAGAUGUGAAAUCCCCGGGCUUAACCCGGGAAUUGCAUCUGAUACUGGGCAGCUAGGGUCUUGUAGAGGGGGGUAGAAUUCCAUGUGUAGCGGUGAAAUGCGUAGAGAUGUGGAGGAAUACCGGUGGCGAAGGCGGCCCCCUGGACAAAGACUGACGCUCAGGUGCGAAAGCGUGGGGAGCAAACAGG